UACGUAGGGUGCAAGCGUUGUCCGGAAUUAUUGGGCGUAAAGAGCUCGUAGGUGGCGGGUCACGUCGGGUGUGAAAGCCCGGGGCUUAACCCCGGGUCUGCAUUCGAUACGGGCCUGCUAGGGUCCGGCAGGGGAGACUGGAAUUCCUGGUGUAGCGGUGAAAUGCGCAGAUAUCAGGAGGAACACCGGUGGCGAAGGCGGGUCUCUGGGCCGGUACCGACGCUGGAGGCGCGGAAGGCGUGGGGAGCGAACGGG
rnacentral:rRNA from 1 species